rnacentral:rRNA from 1 species
GAUGAACGCUGGCGGCGUGCCUAAUACAUGCAAGUCGAGCGAACAGACGAGGAGCUUGCUCCUCUGACGUUAGCGGCGGACGGGUGAGUAACACGUGGAUAACAUACCUAUAAGACUGGGAUAACUUCGGGAAACCGGAGCUAAUACCGGAUAAUAUAUUGAACCGCAUGGUUCAAUAGUGAAAGACGGUUUUGCUGUCACUUAUAGAUGGAUCCGCGCCGCAUUAGCUAGUUGGUAAGGUAACGGCCUACCAAGGCAACGAUGCGUAGCCGACCUGAGAGGGUGGUCGGCCACACUGGAACUGAGACACGGUCCAGACCCCUACGGGAGGCAGCAGUAGGGAAUCUUCCGCUAUGGGCGAAAGCCUGACGGAGCAACGCCGCGUGAGUGAUGAAGGUCUUCGGAUCGUAAAGCUCUGUUAUUAGGGAAGAACAAAUGUGUAAGUAACUAUGCACGUCUUGACGGUACCUAAUCAGAAAGCCACGGCUAACUACGUG